CAGAGAGAGAGGAGGCACACUCACAGAGGGAGGAGACAAUCUUAGAGAAAGAGGAGAUACCCUUAGAGAGAGGAGACACUCAGAGAGAGAGGAGGCACACUCAGAGAGGGAGGAAGCACACUUAGAGAGAGAGGAGGCACACUUAGAGAGAGAGAAGACACACUCUCAGAGGGAGGAGACAACCUUAGAGAGAGAGAGAGUGAGGAGACACCCUAGAGAGAGGAGGCACACUCAGAGAGGGAGGAGAAACACUCAGAGAGAGAGGAG